rnacentral:rRNA from 1 species
AUGGAACAAUGUAGGCAAGGGAAGUCGGCAAAACGGAUCCGUAACUUCGGGAAAAGGAUUGGCUCUGAGGACUGGGCUCGGGGGUCCCGGCCCCGAACCCGUCGGCUGUCGGCGGAUUGCUCGAGCUGCUCACGCGGCGAGAGCGGGUCGCCGCGUGCCGGCCGGGGGACGGACCGGGAAUCGCCCCUUCGGGGGCUUUCCCCGAGCAUGAAACAGUCGACUCAGAACUGGUACGGACAAGGGGAAUCCGACUGUUUAAUUAAAACAAAGCAUUGCGAUGGCCCUCGCGGAUGCUGA